rnacentral:tRNA from 1 species
GGUGGCUCAGUGGUAGAGUGCUUGCCUCCCAUUCAUGAGGCCCUGGGUUCGAUUCCUCAGCACCA